AGGAUGGGCGUGCCUUACGGGCACCAGAACACCUGCCGCUGCGGGGACGAGCAUCCAGAGGAGGUCUGUGUACGAAGUACCCCGACAGACUGGUGGCGCUGCGUCCCGCGGGGCCAGGCGGCGGGCGGCGACGGAGCCGGAGCGGUU
rnacentral:SRP_RNA from 1 species